rnacentral:rRNA from 1 species
UACGUAGGGUGCGAGCGUUGUCCAGAAUUAUUGGGCGUAAAGGGCUCGUAGGCGGUCUGUCGCGUCGGGAGUGAAAACUCAGGGCUUAACCCUGAGCCUGCUUCCGAUACGGGCAUCACUGGAGUUCGGCAGGGGAGACUGGAAUUCCUGGUGUAGCGGUGAAAUGCGCAGAUAUCAGGAGGAACACCGGUGGCGAAGGCGGGUCUCUGGGCCGAUACUGACGCUGAGGAGCGAAAGCGUGGGGAGCAAACAGG